GGCUCUGGCUGAUAGCCACCCCCUUUUCAGCACCCACCCCCAGGGGGACGGCGCCAAAACCCCAUUGCCCUGCCAGCCGCUGUGAAUAGACAGAGCUCCCCCACGCCAGCAAAGCAGCUCCGCAGCUGGUGGGGGGCCCAGGAAGAGAGAUUUUGCUUUUUCUCCCUCUUAUGGGGCUGACAGCUUGGACAGUAGCUUCCCAGAAACGAACUUUAUUCUCAGGGAGACGGACGUGCCUGAACCCUGAAUGUUUCCAUGAAUAUUUAUGGUUUUUCUCUCUGCUCUGGUCUCAGCUUUGGCCAUGAUACAACGUUUCCCUUUCACCGCCUGUAGAUGCCUCAUUAUUGCUCCGCGGGCUCAGCUUGUCUGUAACUGGGGCAAAGAACCACUAAGUGGCGCUGUUGUCUCUGGUUAGUAACGAUGGUGCUAUUGCUGUGUUGCAUUAACCACUGUGAUUUAUGGAGUCAGACACGAAGUGCUCCACGAACGUCCAAUCAUUUCAUUCUAACAACAACUCCAAGAAGGAGGCAGAGAGGUGCUGAGAGGGGAAGUUGAUUAUCCAACGUCACACAGCUAGGACGUCAUGGAGACAAGAUUCGAAUCCAUAAACUAGUAUCAGAAGUCGUCACUGCAAAAAUGCAGAUACCAACUAUCUCUGCCUGGCCAGGCCCUCAAAAUCAGAGAACGUUUCUCCUGAUGAUCAAGAUACAGUGCUGAGCUUGGAGAAAAUUCAUUACUAAUCCAACAAAAUGAGAGAUGGAGUCUUGCUCUGUUGCCCAGGCUGGAGUGCAAUGGUGUGAUCUCAGCUCACUGCAACCUCUGCUUCCCAGAUACAAGCCAUUCUCCUGCCUCAGCCUCCUGAGUAGCUGGAACUACAGAUGCAUGCCACCACGCCUGGCUAAUUUUUUAUAUUUUUAGUAGAGACAGGAUUUCACCAUGUUGAUCAGGCUGGUCUCAAACUCCUGACCUCAUGAUCCACCUGCCUCAGCCUUACAAAGUACUGGGAUUACACUGCGCCUGAUACGUUUGCAUUUUUAAAGAUUCCCUUGCUGCAGUAAGAGAGAAGAGGUCAGAGGAGCUACAGUCAGUGAGAUGAGACAGACGAGGGGUCCACUGGAUGGUACCGACCUAAUAGUAACAGGCAGUCACAUGAACAAAGGCCAAUAUUUGAACAGAAGGCUGACGUGUUCAGGGUCCGGCCAAGAAGAAAACAAUCCAGAAUGGAAAAGAAUCAGUUCCCCUGCGUAGUGCUCUGGUGGGCUGGUGAACAGGUCCAAUGUCUUCUGCAAGGCCCUCACCCACCUGCACCAUUUCAGGUAGGGAAGCCAACUUGUCCUGGUUUGUCUGGGACCUUUAGCACUGAAAGUCCCAUGCCAGGGAAAACUCCAUUCUGGGAAAACUGAGGAUUCGUCACCCUAAUUUCAGCACCGGGUCUGUUGUAUCAAUGAGGGUAUACCUGCACCUUGCUCCAUUUAGUAUUUCAUUAGAAUGUGCCAGGUGACCCUAGGGGCCUGAACCUGAGAUUUUUGCCUUGAUUGUGUCCUGCAGUAUGUGUUAAAAUAUAUUCUCCUUCCAGUGACUGGGAUAAGUGGUCUUAGGAGAAAGAUGCCUUGUUGCCAAAAUGCUAUUUGAUAAACUAGGAACUGGAUUCUUGAAAUAAUCGAAACUUCUGAAUAAUAUUUAUAUAAGUCUUACAAAGAAGUCCUAUAUGUUGUUCUAUUAGGCUGGUGCAAAAUCGUUUGCAGUUUUUGCCAGCAGGUUUUGCCAGUAAUGGCAAAAACCUGCAAAUACUUUUGCACCAACUUUAAUAUUACAGUGAAAAUGUACUUGGCAAGCCUUACGGUUAUAUGCUUGAGGUGGAAUGCCAGAUGGCCUGGGUGCAAAUUCUGACUCUGUCAUUUACAAGCUCUGUGACCUUGCACUUGUCUUGGCCUGUGUCUCAGUUUCCUCGUAGGUAAAAUAAAGAAGGCACUAAUACUUACUUCUUAGUUAUGAGAGAAGGCAUGUAAAGUGCUGGGCAUCCUACCUGGCAUGCACCAGAUGUACCAUAAAUGUUACCUCUAGGUGUAGGUUAAAGGACCUUAUCUAGGGAAUUGCAUGAAAUUCAUUACACUAGAGCUUCCCUGUUCAGUAGCCACUACCGCCAUGCGGUAAUUGACCACUUGAAAGUCUCAACUGAGAUGUGCUAUAAACUGUAAAAUGUUCUUUAAAGAUUAAGAAAAAGAGAAUAUAAAAUAUCUCCAUGCUAAUCUGUUUAUAUAUUGAUUCCAUAUCAAAAUAACAUUUUGAGUGGACCAAGUAAAAUAAAAUACAUUAUUAAAAUUA